AUUGUCCCAGGUUCAGGUGUUUACGUAUCAUGAAGUGUGUGGCGCUCUGCUUGCCAGGCAUCUAGUGGGACUUCAAUGGCAAGGAUUUUGCUCCUUGGGGUGUUUGACAUUGAAACACUCAUCAAAAGUAAUUUGAGAGGAGGGGAAUCCAAUGUUUCAAAGGGGGGAGAUGGGGAGAAAAGAAGCGCCCUGGAUGAAAUAAAAGUGAAAGCUAUAAUGGAUGCUGUUAUGUCAAGACACUCAGUUUCGACUGGCCAGAUCGGAGCAGCCCUGAAUGGGAAGAUGGCAGAACUAAGACUGGCAAUGUCCAGGAAAAAUGUUCAUUAAAAAUGAGUGUUUCCCGAGUGAGUCUAAAAAAAUCUGAAGUUGAAAUUAAAGUUUUUACUUGAAAAGUUUGUGUACUGAACAAAAUGCAUUAAAGUUUGUAUUUGAAAAGACCUGGAAUUGUGUGUUCUGUGGAAUGAGUAUAAAUAUAUGUGCAGGAUAUAUAAAAAACAUAGUUGUACCACUAAUAUAAGUGAAAGUACAUGGUGUCAUCAUAUAGGAAGCAUAUUUGUAUCCCUAAUAUAAGUGAAAGUACAUGGUGUCAUCAUAUAAGAAGCAUAUUUGUAUCCCUAAUAUAAGUGAAAGUACAUGGUGUCAUCAUAUUAGAAGCAUAUUUGUAUCCCUAAUAUAAGUGAAAGUAUGUACUCUGGA